ACCAUAGCAAGUCGGUCCCACCCCUUCCCAUCCCGAACAGGACCGUGAAACGACUUUGCGCCGAUGAUAGUGCUGCAACCAGUGUGAAAGUAGGUUAUCGUCAGGC
rnacentral:rRNA from 2 species